GACGAACGCUGGCGGCGUGCCUAAUACAUGCAAGUAGAACGCACAGUUUAUACCGUAGCUUGCUACACCAUAGACUGUGAGUUGCGAACGGGUGAGUAACGCGUAGGUAACCUGCCUGGUAGCGGGGGAUAACUAUUGGAAACGAUAGCUAAUACCGCAUAAUAUUAAUUAUUGCAUGAUAAUUAAUUGAAAGGUGCAAUUGCACCACUACCAGAUGGACCUGCGUUGUAUUAGCUAGUAGGUGAGGUAACGGCUCACCUAGGCGACGAUACAUAGCCGACCUGGGAGGGGGAUCGGCCACACUGGGACUGAGACACGGCCCAGACUCCUACGGGAGGCAGCAGGAGGGAAUCUUCGGCAAUGGACGAAAGUCUGACCGAGCAACGCCGCGGGAGGGAAGAAGGUUUUCGGAUCGUAAAGCUCUGUUGUAAGAGAAGAACGGGUGUGAGAGUGGAAAGUUCACACUGUGACGGUAUCUUACCAGAAAGGGACGGCUAACUACGUG
rnacentral:rRNA from 1 species